CCAUCCCUAGUCGGUAGAGCGCUGGCCUUUUAAGCCAGUGGUCGUGGGUUCGAGCCCCACGGGGGUGCU
rnacentral:tRNA from 1 species